AGUGAACGCUGGCGGUAGGCCUAACACAUGCAAGUCGAACGGCAGCACAGUAAGAGCUUGCUCUUACGGGUGGCGAGUGGCGGACGGGUGAGGAAUACAUCGGAAUCUACUUUUUCGUGGGGGAUGGCGUAGGGAAACUUACGCUAAUACCGCAUACGACCUACGGGUGAAAGCAGGGGAUCUUCGGACCUUGCGCGAUUGAAUGAGCCGAUGUCGGAUUAGCUAGUUGGCGGGGUAAAGGCCCACCAAGGCGACGAUCCGUAGCUGGUCUGAGAGGAUGAUCAGCCACACUGGAACUGAGACACGGUCCAGACUCCUACGGGAGGCAGCAGUGGGGAAUAUUGGACAAUGGGCGCAAGCCUGAUCCAGCCAUACCGCGUGGGUGAAGAAGGCCUUCGGGUUGUAAAGCCCUUUUGUUGGGAAAGAAAAGCAGCAGGCUAAUACCCCGCUGUUCUGACGGUACCCAAAGAAUAAGCACCGGCUAACUUCGUG
rnacentral:rRNA from 1 species